rnacentral:rRNA from 1 species
UACGGAGGGAGCUAGCGUUGUUCGGAUAUACUGGGCGUAAAGCGCACGUAGGCGGCGCCGUAAGUCAGGGGUGAAAUCCCGGAGCUCAACUCCGGAACUGCCCUCGAAACUAGAUAGCUAGAAUCUUGGAGAGGUCAGUGGAAUUCCGAGUGUAGAGGUGAAAUUCGUAGAUAUUCGGAAGAACACCAGUGGCGAAGGCGGCUUACUGGUCCGGUUCUGACGCUGAGGCGCGAAAGCGUGGGGAGCAAACAGA